UUGGGCUCAAAAUUUAUGCAUUAUGGUGUAGUGGGUUAAGACGGCGGGCGCCGAGCACGCAACCAAAGUUCGGUCCUACGCCGCGUAAAUACUCUUUUCUAAAAAAUUUGCACCCAAAUAUGUUCUCCUGACGUCGAGACGGGGGUUCCA
ensembl:ncRNA F45H7.14 ncRNA